GACAGAGGGGGCAAGCGUUGCUCGGAAUUACUGGGCGUAAAGGGCGCGUAGGCGGGAUGGUAAGUCGGUCGUGAAAGCCUCCGGCCCAACCGGAGAACGUCGAUCGAUACUACCGUCCUUGAGGGUUGCAGAGGAGACUGGAAUUCCCGGUGUAGCGGUGAAAUGUGUAGAGAUCGGGAGGAACACCGGUGGCGAAGGCGGGUCUCUGGGCAAUCCCUGACGCUGAGGCGCGAAAGCGUGGGGAGCAAACGGG
rnacentral:rRNA from 1 species